rnacentral:lncRNA from 1 species
CCUAGUGGUGUAAUUCGCCGAGGCUGGCGGCUUACCCACUGGGAACUAUUGUUAAUAGUUCUCACGCCCUUUUGGUGGUUGUUUUUACAGAGCCUGUUACAGGAGAGGCUAGGGAUCGUGGCAAGGGAGUCGCGCCUAGCUAGGGACUACUAGGAGCAUGCUAGUCGAUCACCUUGCUACUCGGGCUACGGCCGAGGGUGAUGUCCCUAUGUAUAGAGAGACCACCGUUGUACCUAUUCUUUUUGUAUACCCUGUGUUGUAUAUUUACUUUCGGGGUUGAGAUUAUAGUAGUGUUACUUCUCCUUUUUUUUGCUGAGAUCUUGGAUUGUAUACCCGUUGUAUAUCGACUUGUACUUUGCUCUGAUAUCAGGAUAGGAUUUUCCUUGUUUUACUUCCUAUCGUUUUGCUACUUGUAGACGCCUUAUAUACUGCAGGUGUAUGGCGGGUCUGUGCACGUGCCGGAUAUGCUUCCGCUGGUAUCCGGGCGUGACACUAACACUAGGUUCAUAUCAUUCAUGUUCAACCUAUGUUCAAGACACUAGGUUUAAUGAUACUCGAUCUAAUGUAUAUAGAUUGUUCAUAUGCACAUUAUACUAGUUUUCCAAUGUCGAGUUCUCUAAUCAACCUAGAGUUAUCGACCCCAAGUUUAACAUGUACAUGUCAACAUGCAUAGUUCAUCCUACAACAUGCAUAGUUCAUCUAUCACAUGCAAUAUGUCAUUUACUUAGCAUUCUUAUUUUAGCAUCCCUAAAACAUGCUUAUCAUACAUGAACUUAGCAUUUUUAUCAUGUCAUCAUCUAUAUUCUUAGCAUUAACCACGUGCUUGCAUUUAUUAUUUCUACAUCAUACUUA